GAACCACAAGGAGAAGGUUGGGUCUGGAAGGGCUCUAGUGAAGCCUACCUAGGAGUCAGCAACCCUAUCCCAGAAACAGGAAUGCUGAAAGGUCUUUGUCAACCAGAGAGGCCCAUUCAUGAAUGUCAAUAUGGACUGCACUGGAAAAGCGGCAGAAACCCUGGUAUGAGAUCAAGGAUUAGCUUUCAUGAAUAAGUUGCGACACCAUUCCCACCAAAUGACACUAUCAUAUAUGGAGUAAUUGUCCCCCACUGUUAUAGGGGAUCUUGCAUGUAUCCCCUUUUGCCUUGGCUUCUGAAACCUUAUCCUGAUCUCAGAGGCCCUGGUAAAAGGUUUAAUUACAUUCAUUGGGAAUAGAAUGGUAGACAGAAAUGUCCUUGGUAUUGUUUACUGGCAUUGGAUUCCAGUGUUACCAAUGCUAUCUGAAUUCCUGAAGCUUGUUGUGCUGUUCUUUGGAUUCACAAAGAUUGCUAUUAGCCCAUGAGUAGACCUGUGACAGCAAUGGAUUGCUGAACUGGUACACUCGUACAGCAAGUCCACCGAUCACAGCUGGAGCAGGAUGCAUAUGAGCAACAGAAAUCAGGGAUGCUUUGUGAGCCCACAUUAUGGACUUGCAUGGCCAAUGGAAGAGGGAGACCAAUAUGUUUAUAGAUGUAUUUGUACAGCAUUGUUAACAGUAAAUGAAGUACCCUUGCUCUAUACUGCAAAUGGAAUGGGUGGGAUGUAGUUGUCAUGAACAUUCAUUAUGUUUGAAAUGACUGCUGAAACAAUGGCUUGUGGAGGAAAUGGUGGUUUGUGUGAGAUGAGCUGAAGAUUUUCAUUAUGGAUCUGAAAAGAUGUAUUCAAAACAAUUUCUGAAUACAAGUUCCCAGUUAUCUUAUGUCUUUAUCUUUAUUUUUUGAAAUGCACAUUAGAUGUCAUACAGUGCUGGUAAUAAACUUUCUUAAUGAAA